rnacentral:rRNA from 1 species
CGGAUCGGCCCCGAAAAUUGAUGGCGCUCGAACGCAACCCUCGAACCCCGCCGACGGAGGCUAGGGGAGGCCCCGUCGAGUAGGCGGACGCGCGGGUCGCUUCGACGCUCCCGCGCGAGCGGGGGCGGAGCGGCCCGUGGUGCAGAUCUUGGUGGUAGUAGCGAUCACCCAGGCGAGAACCCUGAGGGCCGAAGUGGAGAAGGGUUUCUCGAGAACGGCACUCGCUCGAGAGUUAGUCGAUCCUAAGCUGCCGGCGGCAGCCACGAAACGGUCGAUCGGGCGCGAGCCCGGCAGCCACGACCGGGCAGCGAAAGGGAAUUGGGAACCUCCUUCCCAAACCCGGAACCGGAACGAGGGCGGCGACGCGAACGAAACGGCCGCGGAGACGGCGGCCGCGGCCCCGGAGAGAGUUCUCUUUUCUGUGCGACUGGACGUCGGCCCCGGAAUCGCGUCGAGCGG